UACGAAGGGGGCAAGCGUUGUUCGGAAUUAUUGGGCGUAAAGGGAGCGUAGGCGGUUCGGCAAGUCUUUAGUGAAAUCUCUGGGCUCAACUCAGAGUCUGCUGGAGAAACUGCCGGGCUGGAGUAUGGGAGAGGUGAGUGGAAUUCCCGGUGUAGCGGUGAAAUGCGUAGAUAUUGGGAGGAACACCAGUGGCGAAGGUGGCUCACUGGACCGGAACUGACGCUGAGGCGCGAAAGCGUGGGGAGCAAACGGGG
rnacentral:rRNA from 1 species